GCCCCUGUGGCGGAAUGGCAGACGCGCUCGACUCAAAAUCGAGUGCCGCGAGGCGUGAGGGUUCGAGUCCCUCCAGGGGCA
rnacentral:tRNA from 1 species